rnacentral:rRNA from 1 species
CAGUAGCCGCGGGAAUACAGAGGGUGCGAGCGUUAAUCGGAAUUACUGGGCGUAAAGCGCGCGUAGACGGUUUUGUAAGUCAGAUGUGAAAUCCCUGGGCUCAACCUGGGAACUGCAUUUGAUACUGCAUGGCUAGAGUAUCGAAGAGGGAAGUGGAAUUUCCGGUGUAGCGGUGAAAUGCGUAGAUAUCGGAAGGAACACCAGUGGCGAAAGCGACUUCCUGGUCGAAUACUGACGUUCAUGUGCGAAAGCGUGGGGAGCAAACAGGAUUAGAGACCCCAGUAGUCCCUGACUCUUAUAC